AUGUCUUCAUCAACACCAUCGCCGCCGCUGCCCGUCUCCACCUCCGUGCCGAUGACCACCGUGCCGAUGACGUCCACCCCAAUGACCACCGCCGGGGCCUCCACGCUGUCGGGCCCAGUCACCGCCGUGGGCUCCUCACCACCGCCGGCCCCCAUCACUUCCGCGCCGCCACCAGCCGCCGUCUUCACGCCGGAACAGAUGACCAGCACGCUGCAACAGCUCGUGACGGCCGUCCAAGGGCUCCACAUGAACCAGUACCACCAGUACAUGGCAGGAGCGUACGGCCUUCCGCCGGCUGCGCCGAUCACCACCUACGGCCACCCUGCGCCGUGGCUGUUCCCGGGCGCACCCGCAGGCGGCGGGCCCCCGCUAUUGCCGUUCCAGACGGGGAACUCCAGUGGGCCACCACCAGCCGCCGCGGGCCUGUGGCAUCUGCCGCCGCCACCAUCGAUGGCGCCCCUCUGGCACCUGCAGCAGUUGCCGUUCCCGGCAGCCGCUGCCCCCGUCCAGCCCCCGCUGCUGCCGCUGCAACCACCGGCGCCGCCCCUGCCCAGCUCGGGGGCACCCUCGCCAACCGGCCUCCCGAUCCAUCAGGUCCGAUUACCGCCCUCCCCGUCGCCACUCCCAGCGUGGGCGGAUGGGUCUUCACCAUCGCCGGUCUACACCACGGCCCCCGAACAGCCGACUCCGUUCCCGCAGUUCGGUGGGCCAUCCGGUUCCGCCAGUCCCUACCCGGAGUACUCCGACCAGGCGCCACCCGCCUCGCUGCUCCGCUCCUCUGAGCUAGCUCGACACGUCGCUCCGACUCAGACACCGCCGCGGUUCGUCAAGAUCGACUUCGCCACCUAUGACGGCACGGAGGACCCCCUCAACUGGCUCAACCAGUGCGACCAGUUCUUUCGCGGGCAGCGCACCCUCGCAUUGGAGCGUACCUGGCUCGCCUCGUACCACCUCCGCGGUGCGGCACACACCUGGUAUUACGCCCUCGAGCAGGACGAGGGUGCCAUGCCCCCGUGGGAGCGCUUCCGCAAGCUCUGCCUCCUUCGCUUUGGGCCUCUGGUUCGCGGGAGCCGCCUGGCGGAGCUCGUCCGCCUUCCCUUCACCUCCAUGGUGCAGGACUACGCCGACCGUUUCCAGGCCCUGGCAUGCCAUGCGUCGGGUGUGACGGCGCAGCAGUGGGCCGACCUCUUUGUCGGUGGACUUCCGGAUCACAUCCGCGUGGACGAGGAGCUCCGGGGACCCCAGGAUCUCCAGUCGGCCAUGUGCUACGCCCGCGCGUUCGAGCACCGCAUGGUGGCCAUCCAACAGGAAUCACCAUCCCGGACCGCUGGGUCGCUACCCGGGUCGGAUUCCGCGUAG
rnacentral:rRNA from 1 species